CGCCAUCCUGCCGGCUGCUGUGCCUCGGCGAAGUGUCUCGCUCCGGCCGCUCCUCUCCACUGCGGCAGGAGAAAGGAUUAUCUCCGAAGCUAGAAGACUUCUGUUAGGAGAAGCGUUAUCCUGUCAGUUGAUUACCCUGAGUUAUUAUUAUUGCUGUUUGACAGAUGAAAAACUGACAUGGAGAAAAGUUAGACAAUUCCUCCAAAUCACAAAGAUAAUGCCUAGAUCUAGAAGCCAAACAGAUGGGUUGAAGGUGAUACCUAAUUUUAACAUUUGAUGACUCCUGCCAAAUUACCCUCUGAAAAGAAUUUAACAAUUUAUAUUCCUUCCACAUCAUUGCCUCUUUCCCCACAUCAUAAUGUAAGUCUUCUUAUUUUUUACUCACCAAAGGGAGAGAAAUAUUUACUGUUUAAAACUGAGCACCUUUUAAACUGCUUUUCUUUCUUUAUUGGCUUAACUCUUCAAGAUGUGUCUUUUUUCUGAUUGGACUAUUGUUUUUAUCUUUACUGGCUUUUAGAAGCUCUUUAUAUAAUCUGGAUAAUAAGCUUUCGUCAUCAAUAUAUGUUGCAGAUAUUUCCUCUCAGUGUGUCAUCAGAUUUUGUAUUUAUGUCUAUUUAUUAUGUCUGUGACCAUACAAAUUAUUAAAUUUCUUAUAAGGUUAGGCUAAGCUUCUUUCUUUAUGAGUUAAUGGGGGUUGUCUGUCUUAGAAAGGAUCUCUCAUUCCAAACCUUAAAACUAUUCUCCUAAUAAUUUUAGAUUUGUUCAACUGAGAGAGUGCUUAACUCAGGAGAUCAAUAAAGGUUCAUAGAGGAAGAAGUAUUUGAAAUUGUCCUGGAAGAACAAUAUUUUUCAACAGGCAGAGAUGGAGAAAGGACAAUCUACAUGAACAGAACAGCAUGAGCAAAAAGAACUGGUUAGAGACUAUCCAUAGGAUAAAUUUCUAGCAAAUUGCUGAGUCCAGGAUAUGCAUGUUUGCAAUUUUGGAAGAUCUUAAAAACUUGCCUCCUAUAGGUGUUGUACCAGUAUAUACUUCUGCCAGUAAUAGAUGGGUGGGCUGCUGAUGCCUCAAAAUGUAAGUAUUUUCAAACUUUUAAAUUUUAGCCCAUUUAACAUAAUUUAAAAAUUAUGUCUCUGUGUGAUUUUAGUUCCAUUUCCCUUAUUAUAUAUAAGACUGAACAUCUUGGCAUAUGUUUAAGGGCCAUCUGCAUUUCCUUUUCUGUGCACUGUCAGCUUAUAUGCUUUGCCCAUUUUUUCUAGUAGAUGGUUAGUGUUUUUCUUAUUGAUUUGUAUAUAUUCUGUAUUACUCCUUUAUCACAUUGCCACAAAGAAAUGCCUGAGAUGGUGUCAUUUAUAGAGAAAAGAGGUUUAAUUGGCUCACAGUUCCACAGGCUAUACAGGAAGCAUGGCUGAGGAGG
rnacentral:lncRNA from 1 species